rnacentral:rRNA from 1 species
UACGUAGGGUGCAAGCGUUGUCCGGAAUUAUUGGGCGUAAAGAGCUCGUAGGCGGUCUGUCGCGUCGAAUGUGAAAACCCGGGGCUCAACCCCGGGCCUGCAUUCGAUACGGGCAGACUAGAGUUCGGUAGGGGAGUCUGGAAUUCCUGGUGUAGCGGUGAAAUGCGCAGAUAUCAGGAGGAACACCGGUGGCGAAGGCGGUUCUCUGGGAAUGACCUGACGCUGAGGAGCGAAAGUGUGGGGAGCGAACAGG